UGGGGAAUAUUGCACAAUGGGCGAAAGCCUGAUGCAGCAACGCCGCGUGAGUGAUGAAGGUCUUCGGAUUGUAAAGCUCUGUCUUUUGGGACGAUAAUGACGGUACCAAAGGAGGAAGCCACGGCUAACUACGUGCCAGCAGCCGCGGUAAUACGUAGGUGGCGAGCGUUGUCCGGAUUUACUGGGCGUAAAGGGUGCGUAGGCGGAUGUUUAAGUGAGAUGUGAAAUACCCGGGCUUAACUUGGGUGCUGCAUUUCAAACUGGAUAUCUAGAGUGCAGGAGAGGAGAAUGGAAUUCCUAGUGUAGCGGUGAAAUGCGUAGAGAUUAGGAAGAACACCAGUGGCGAAGGCGAUUCUCUGGACUGUAACUGACGCUGAGGCACGAAAGCGUGGGUAGCAAACAGGAUUAGAUACCCUGGUAGUCCACGCCGUAAACGAUGAGUACUAGGUGUAGGAGGUAUCGACCCCUUC
rnacentral:rRNA from 1 species